UCCCCGUUGCCGGGGCAGUCUAGCUAGAGAAAUCCAACUAACUAUAAGGGUUGCGCUCGUUGAUGGACUUAACCAAACAUCUCACGACACGAGCUGACGACGGCCAUGCAACACCUGUCACUUGGCUCAAUAAAGCACUCUCUCCUUUCGGAGAAAUUCCAAGGAUGUCAAACCCUGGUAAGGUUCUUCGCUUACCAUCGAAUUAAAGAACACGCUCCACCGCUUGUGCGGGUCCCCGUCAAUUCCUUUAUGUUUUAGUCUUGCGACCGUACUCCACAGGCGGGAUGCUUAACGCGUUAGCUUCGCUACUAGAGGGGUCGAUACCUCUAACAGCUAGCAUCCAUAGUUUACGGCGUGGACUAC
rnacentral:misc_RNA from 1 species